rnacentral:lncRNA from 1 species
UUGGUGUCCGACACAACACUCAUAGAAGUGGUUAUAUUCAAUCACUUCUAUUCUCUUAAGUCUUGACAUAUUAUCAAUAUCUACAUGUCAGUGUUAGUGCCGUGUCCAGUUUUGCCUCGGUGCAUGUUAUCAUCCCUAGGGGGUAAAAGAAUAAGCAAUUACCUGUACAUGUAGAUGUCUUUACCCUGCUCAAGAUUCUUCUUGCAGUGAAAACAUACACUCAGAAAGCUCUCAGAGGGAUAGCUGGUAGGGUGAGGAAAACAAUACCCAUUCUCUUUAACAGCAGAGCAUCCAAUAUCAAAACAACUACUCUCAAUUAUGCAAUUAUCAAAUAUAUGAGUUGUUCUUGGGUUUGGACCAUGAGAAAUCACACGAGUAUAAUCCUCAGAAAGCUCCAUUUCACUAGCAGAGAGACACCCUUUGAAGACUCCAUGAGUAGAAUUUGAAGUUUCAAUUUCAUUAGCACACCCAAAUGAAGAUUUUCCCACAGGAGAGAGUGAAAAGCUUCCAGAAGAAGAACCCAAAUGAGAAUUUCUUGUGUUGAUGCUGAAAUCACCUCUAGAUAAAGGUGAUGAUUCAGAUGAAGAAGAAAAAGUUGAAAUUGUUGGUAAAAAGGGAGGAAUCUGAAUCUUCAACUGAGAUCCAAACAGAACAGUUUUGUUCUCUGGUUUUGAAUUCACUUCACUGUUUUUUUCAUCUACAAGAACAUCAACAAGACCAAGACCAACAACUUUUGACUCCAAUUUAUCCCAACAACGUUUGUGUUCACCACAAACAUGUUGUGUUAUAGGGCUAUUUGUUUCAGACCAAAAAGGAUUCUUGAAACAAGAAAAAGGCUUGGUAUCAAGUAUUGAAGUAGGACUCAUCAUGGUUUCAGUUUCAUGAAAACCUUUUGAUGUGAACAACUUUGGAGAAUUGAAGAAGGAUGAAGUGAUUUUCUUUGAACUAGAAUCUUCCAUUAUAGUAGUAGCUUAGUCACAAACUGUGAAACAAAAACAACACAUAAAACAAGAAUAUAG